rnacentral:snoRNA from 1 species
AUUGUACUAUGUUUACACUUUCGAAGUAAUUCCUUAAACCUCUCCCAUGCUUCAAAAAUAGUUUCAUUAUCUUUCUGGGAUAAUUUAUGGAUUUGUCUUCUAAACAU